UUAGACAGUUAGCUUCACCCUGCAGCCGGAGAAAGGUUACUCACUGAAGCUAAGCAGGGCUGAGCCUGGUCAGUACUUGGGUGGGAGACCACAUGCAAAAACUAGGUUGCUGUUGGAA
ensembl:rRNA 5S_rRNA 5S ribosomal RNA